UACGUAGGUCGCAAGCGUUGUCCGGAUUUACUGGGCGUAAAGAGCGCGCAGGCGGCUGGCCAAGUCCGAUGUGAAAUCUCCCGGCUUAACCGGGAAACUGCAUCGGAAACUGGUCGGCUUGAAGGUGGGAGAGGGUAGCGGAAUUCCCGGUGUAGUGGUGAAAUGCGUAGAUAUCGAGAGGAACACCAGUGGCGAAGGCGGGUCCCUGGACAACACCUGACACUGAGGCACGAAAGCUAGGGGAGCAAACAGG
rnacentral:rRNA from 1 species